GAUGAACGCUGGCGGCGUGCCUAAUACAUGCCAGUCGAGCGAACGGACGAGAAGCUUGCUUCUCUGAUGUUAGCGGCGGACGGGUGAGUAACACGUGGAUAACCUACCUAUAAGACUGGGAUAACUUCGGGAAACCGGAGCUAAUACCGGAUAAUAUUUUGAACCGCAUGGUUCAAAAGUGAAAGACGGUCUUGCUGUCACUUAUAGAUGGAUCCGCGCUGCAUUAGCUAGUUGGUAAGGUAACGGCUUACCAAGGCAACGAUGCAUAGCCGACCUGAGAGGGUGAUCGGCCACACUGGAACUGAGACACGGUCCAGACUCCUACGGGAGGCAGCAGUAGGGAAUCUUCCGGAAUGGGCGAAAGCCUGACGGAGCAACGCCGCGUGAGUGAUGAAGGUCUUCGGAUCGUAAAACUCUGUUAUUAGGGAAGAACAUAUGUGUAAGUAACUGUGCACAUCUUGACGGUACCUAAUCAGAAAGCCACGGCUAACUACGUG
rnacentral:rRNA from 1 species